rnacentral:misc_RNA from 1 species
AAGUCGUAACAAGGUUUCCGUAGGUGAACCUGCGGAAGGAUCAUCAUCGAGUUUGAAAGAGGUUGUCGCUGGCCUUUCGGGGCAUGUGCACGCCUUGCUCAUCCAUCUCACACCUGUGCACCUUCUGUAGUUCUGGGAGAAGUGGGGGCGACCCCCUUCGCUUGGUUCUACGUCUUUUCACACACUCUAUACGUUCUGAAUGUAAACCGCGAUAAAACGCAUCUAAUACAA